UACAGAGGUGGCAAGCGUUGUUCGGAAUUACUGGGCGUAAAGGGCGCGUAGGCGGCCAUCUAAGUCAGACGUGAAAUCCCCCGGCUUAACCUGGGAACUGCGUCUGAUACUGGACGGCUUGAGUAUGGGAGAGGGAUGUAGAAUUCCAGGUGUAGCGGUGAAAUGCGUAGAUAUCUGGAGGAAUACCGGUGGCGAAGGCGGCAUCCUGGACCAUUACUGACGCUGAGGCGCGAAAGCUAGGGGGAGCAAACGGG
rnacentral:rRNA from 1 species